UGGGGAAUCUUAGGCAAUGGGCGCAAGCCUGAUCUAGCCAUGCCGCGUGAGCGAUGAAGGCCUUAGGGUUGUAAAGCUCUUUCAGUGGGGAAGAUAAUGACUGUACCCACAGAAGAAGCCCCGGCUAACUCCGUGCCAGCAGCCGCGGUAAUACGAAGGGGGCUAGCGUUGCUCGGAAUUACUGGGCGUAAAGGGAGCGUAGGCGGACAUUUAAGUCAGGGGUGAAAUCCCGGGGCUCAACCUCGGAACUGCCUUCUAAACUCCUGGUCUUGAGUUCGAGAGAGGUGAGUGGAAUUCCGAGUGUAGAGGUGAAAUUCGUAGAUAUUCGGAGGAACACCAGUGGCGAAGGCGGCUCACUGGCUCGAUACUGACGCUGAGGUGCGAAAGCGCGGGGAGCAAACA
rnacentral:rRNA from 1 species